rnacentral:rRNA from 1 species
GACGAACGCUGGCGGCGUGCUUAACACAUGCAAGUCGUACGGAAAGGCCCUGGCUUUGGUUGGGGUGCUCGAGUGGCGAACGGGUGAGUAACACGUGGGUGAUCUGCCCUGCACUUUGGGAUAAGCCUGGGAAACUGGGUCUAAUACUGGAUAGGACCAUGCUUUUGUGUGUCAUGGUGGAAAGGCUUCCUUUUGGGGCUGGUGUGGGAUGAGCUUGCGGCCUAUCAGCUUGUUGGUGGGGUAAUGGCCUACCAAGGCGUCGACGGGUAGCCGGCCUGAGAGGGUGUACGGCCACAUUGGGACUGAGUUACGGCCCAGACUCCUGCGGGAGGCAGGAGUGGGGAGUAUUGCACAAUGAGCGCAAGCCUGAUGCAGCGACGCCGCGUGAGGGAUGACGGCCUUCGGGUUGUAAACCUCUUUCGCUGGGGACGAAGCUUUUUUUGGUGACGGUACCUGGAGAAGAAGCACCGGCUAACUACGUG